GAUGAACGCUGGCGGCGUGCCUAAUACAUGCAAGUCGAGCGAACGGACGAGAAGCUUGCUUCUCUAAUGUUAGCGGCGGACGGGUGAGUAACACGUGGAUAACCUACCUAUAAGACUGGGAUAACUUCGGGAAACCGGAGCUAAUACCGGAUAAUAUUUUGAACCGCAUGGUUCAAAAGUGAAAGACGGUCUUGCUGUCACUUAUAGAUGGAUCCGCGCUGCAUUAGCUAGUUGGUAAGGUAACGGCUUACCAAGGCAACGAUGCAUAGCCGACCUGAGAGGGUGAUCGGCCACACUGGAACUGAGACACGGUCCAGACUCCUACGGGAGGCAGCAGUAGGGAAUCUUCCGCAAUGGGCGAAAGCCUGACGGAGCAACGCCGCGUGAGUGAUGAAGGUCUUCGGAUCGUAAAACUCUGUUAUUAGGGAAGAACAUAUGUGUAAGUAACUGUGCACAUCUUGACGGUACCUAAUCAGAAAGCCGCGGCUAACUACGUG
rnacentral:rRNA from 1 species